AGACAAUGGCAGACAGCCUUCUGCAGGAGAGUAUUCGCCAGUUGCAGAAAGAUUGGGACUGUCAGCUGUUUGAAAAGAUGGAAAGUGCGUUGCUGGAAUUCACCCAGUUGAAGGUGCCAAUGGAAAACACCCCAUUAACAUUUCAAGAUCUGCAAGGCCCCAAAGCGAAGGCAGACGUGAUUGGAGACACUGAGGCAAAAGGCAGCGGUGAUGGCUAAAUGGAGACAGAUGGAGAAGUGGCCCUAGCCUUUCAUAAGAGCGGACAAUGAGGGACUCCCAAAAAUGUCGUAAUAAAUAUAGUUUCAUUUUUCAAAA